rnacentral:misc_RNA from 1 species
GGAGUCUCUGGUAUCUGCGGGUAGCCCUGUAGUAAAGAAAGUAACUAGUUCUGGUGAUUUGAGCCCUAUCAAGAUGACAGGACCACAUGGUAGUGUUUCUAGAGUUCCAUGUAUCUGGGAGGGGGAACUGCAGCUUACUAUUUCAUCCUUGGUUACAGUCUUUGGUUCGUUUAGAAGUGGUGAAAAGACACCAACUAACGGAUGGCCAAGCUCUCUUGAGAUCAAGGGUAGAGUUCGACUUGAUGCAUUUGAGAAAUUUCUUCAAGAGCUUCCUAUGUCACGAAGUCGUGCAGUCAUGGUUGUUCAAUUUGUUUUGAAGGAUAAGUCAUCUGAGAGGGAACGGGCAGACCUAUCUGAGGCAGUGCAUUCCUACGCUUCAGAUGAGAGGUUGGGGUUUGCGGAACCUGCUCCAGGAGUGGAACUAUAUCUGUGUCCACCACACAUACUCGAUAUGAUAAGCAAACACCUUUCCAAAGACCCUAAAGAGCUAUAUGAUUCUACAGAUAAUGGUCUAAUUGGCGUAGUUGUAUGGAGAAAACUUCAUAUAAGUUCAAC